rnacentral:siRNA from 1 species
CUCCCACACUAUGGAUCA